rnacentral:tRNA from 2 species
UACCCCGUGGUGUAAUGGUAACACAGGAGAUUCUGGAUCUCUCGUUCAAGGUUCGAGUCCUUGCGGGGUAACCA